AGCGAACGCUGGCGGUAGGCCUAACACAUGCAAGUCGAACGGCACCACACUAUCAGCUUGCUCUUAUGGGUGGCGAGUGGCGGACGGGUGAUGAAUACCUCGGAAUCUACUUUUUCGUGGGUCCUAACGUCGGGAAACUUACGCUAAUACCGCAUCCCACCUACGGGUGAAAGUAGGGGAUCUUCUGACCUUGCGCGAUUGAAUGAGCCUAUGUCGGAUUAGCUAGUUGGCGGGGUAAAGGCCCACCCAGGCGACGAUCCGUAGCUGGUCUGAGAGGAUGAUAGGCGACACUGGAACUGAGACACGGUCAAGACGACUAAGAGAGGGAGCAGUGGGGAAUAGUAGACAAUGGGCGGAAGCAUGAUCCAGCCAGAGAGCGUGGGUGAAGAAGGCGUUGGGGUUGUAAAGAAGGCUUGUGGGGAAAGAAAAGCAGCAGGUAAAGACCAAGCGGUUCUGACGGUACCCGAAGAAUAAGCACCGGCUAACUUCGUG
rnacentral:rRNA from 1 species